GCCAUCUUCUCCUCAUCAUCAGCCUCUUUUGUCUCCAACCUCCAUUGGGACAACACCAUAUUAAUUGUCGCUGACAAUAUUUAAUAUUUCUUCUCUUUAGACAACGUCACAAUGAAGGUCGUCGCCUCAGCACUAACCAUUUCAGAACCCUCAUGUCCAAUUGAUAUAAUUUAGGAUGUAAAUGUAGUAGUGAUAAGUUAUGUAUGACCUUGUAGGAUUAGUAUAGAUAGUUAUAGUUCAGUUAAAUGUUACUGUUUUGUUAAACUUCUAUGAUUUUAUAGAAGUGCAUGUAUAAGUUGUAAAUAAUAAAGGGAAAAGACAUCCCGAUAUAUACUCGCAUAAA